AGUGGGAAAAGAGCUUCCCGGUCAACGAGUCCAGGCGGUGACCGGCAUCGCCAUGGCGGCACUGUUUUUUUUCUUUCUUCCUUGGGCCACUUGCUGGUCCAAACACGGAGGAGAGAGGUUUCUCUGCAGUCGGAUUUGCCCUGCACCCUGCACUGCCUCCUGCUUCCGAGACCACUGCUGAGAACCAGGACCUAAACGGUGAGCAGGAAGUCUACCUUCACUCGUCAUCCACCUGGGACACUGCCCUGCCGCCUCCGUCUCCACCUCCCUGCGAUGGUCUGCUGCCACCACAGCUGCAAGGGCCCUGCCCUGGUCCCCACCAGGACCGUGUGGAAGAGAAGAGUGUCUGCGACUGGAAAAGGGACUGGGACUGAGUUUUUCUGUUUUGUUGCUGAUUUUCAUAGCUGAUGUUCUCGUUUGUCUUGAAGAUAUAUCAGUCAAGAACUGUUAUUCCUAAACCCA